rnacentral:lncRNA from 12 species
AUGAGUGUGAAUAAUGAACACACCAGACCCUUCGGGACCAGCACUGAAGAUGGCUGUAAGGAAAUCAGGAACAACAACAGACAUGCUGAAGAUUCGCUGAAAGGUGAUGGCAAUGCUAAUGAAAUCCAAAGAGGAGAUGGAGGAACAAGUUUUGAGGUAACUGAAACCCUGUCCUCUGUGGUAUCUAACACUGAAGAACGGGUGAGUAUCCAGGGCACAGAUUCCCCAUGGGAUGACCCAGAGUUGGCUGAGUUUGAGAUGCUGGAAAGUCAGGAACUAGAGGAUGAUGAAGAGAACAGUAUUCCUAAAAGUGACACGAAGAGGGCUAUAUCCACCAAUAUGAUGCAGACAGAAGCAAAGUCUCUGAAGGAUAGCAAAAUGUUCUCCCAGUUUAUUUCAAAGGAGCAAGAGUCUACUGUUUGUCCUCAGUCCACUAACAAAGAAAUGGUGACCAGCAUAGCCAGGACUGAGUUUAGCUCGGAAAAUGAUGUUUUUGUCUCUUGCCUCUCCACAAUGUCUAGUCUUGGAGGAAGUCUUGCUAGUGCCCUGGACCACGCCGGUCGAACCCAAAGCUCUGAUUCGUGGCAUGCUCUCUCUGGGCCAUACCGAACUCUCUCUGAGGACCUUACCCUUGCCUCACAGUCCUGUUUAAUUAUUUCGGAUAAAAGCCGGAGCUCUGCACAUACUGAGGGCAUGCAUCAUCAGCCAGGAAAAAGUACAAAACACAUUGGCAGUGUUGAUCUCAAUCUUAACUCUACCACCUUGCCUGAGGAACCCCUUUUAGAAGCACAAAAAAACCAACCAGCUACAGACUUUGUAACAUAUGACAGCUCAGGUCAACUGACAAAUGGCAUGAGUGAAUGUACCAUUGCAAGGAUCAAGAAGGUCCCUAAUGAAGCAGGAAUUACCAGUCAGGACAAUCUAGGAGAACCUGGAAUUCAUGUAAAAGAGUACCAUGGAACAGAAGACAAGGCUCCAAAUUUGAAAACAAUAUCAACUGAGAAGAAACCUUGUCAACCUCUUGUCUCAGCCAUCACACAGUCUGCUGCACAUAAAAUAAUGUUCUCCCAUGAUUCCACUGGUGAUAUAAAUAAUAAACUCAAAUCCCAGAAUGAUGAAUCUCCUAAAAUUGCUCUUAAAACCUCAAAACUAACCUCAAAGGAUACACCUGUGCACUCUGGUGGUUCUGAACCCCAACCAUAUAAGAAGCAAGCUUCUUUUGAAAAGACCCGAAGUUCUAGUGCAUCAAGUUUGGAAAGGCGAAGACCUUGGGGCAGCCCAUCUCGCUCUGAGACCCCUCCAUCCCCUAAGACCACCUGUUCACCUCGGAAACAGCCACCUUCAUCACCAGCCAAACCUAUUAGCACAAGAGAAGCAAGUCAGGAACGAAAUGAAACCUUACAGAGGGGAACCACUGGUUUGAGGCAACCAAGUAAAAGUUUUCUCAGUAGUAGUAAUCUCCCAAAACCUGCCAUUCCUCAGCAACCCACUAAAGCAGAGUGUGAAUCUAAGAAGUCUUCUCCACCUCAAAAGCCCAAAAAUGUUAGACCAAAAAUCAUAACAUAUAUCCGCAAAAGCUCUCAAGUGAAACCAAUGUCUGAAGGUCCAUAUGAAGUAUCGACGCUACCGCCAAGACUUAUACCUUACAGUAGCUCACCAACCUCAAAAGAAUCCAAGGCCGAGGGGUCCAGAUGUUCACCCUUGCAGAGCUCCUCUAACAUCCUUUAUGAAAAGUAUCGUCAGGAAGUACAGAGGUCAGGGUACUACUCCCCUCCAGGACUGAUAGCGUCUGGGAUCAGGCCACUGAGCCACACUGUCCCCCAUAAACUGGUGGGCAAAUCAGAGAGUUUCCACGGUGAACUGCCAGAUCAAUAUUUACAGGUGGGACUUGUGAAGUAG